rnacentral:rRNA from 1 species
GUGAGGAAUAUUGGUCAAUGGGCGAGAGCCUGAACCAGCCAAGUCGCGUGAAGGAAGAAGGAUCUAUGGUUCGUAAACUUCUUUUGCAGGGGAAUAAAGUGCAGGACGUGUUCUGUUUUGUAUGUACCCUGAGAAUAAGGAUCGGCUAACUCCGUGCCAGCAGCCGCGGUAAUACGGAGGAUCCGAGCGUUAUCCGGAUUUAUUGGGUUUAAAGGGUGCGUAGGUGGUUUGAUAAGUCAGCGGUGAAAGUUUGCAGCUUAACUGUAAAAAUGCCGUUGAAACUGUCGGACUUGAGUGUAAAUGAGGUAGGCGGAAUGCGUGGUGUAGCGGUGAAAUGCAUAGAUAUCACGCAGAACUCCGAUUGCGAAGGCAGCUUACUAAGCUACAACUGACACUGAAGCACGAAAGCGUGGGGAUCAAACAGGAUUAGAUACGGUAGUCC